GUCUUUUUGACGAUUUUGGAGGUGGCAGAGGGAGAGAAGACUUUGAGAUUAAAACGUUUUUGAACUCAACACCUAAAAGGUAAGCCAGCACCUGACACCAUAACAACUUCCAAUUUUGAUUUGUAAUUUUUACAUUUAGAUCUGUGCAUGAGAAGUUUAAUUCCUGGAAGGGUCAGUUUAGUCAUUUACCUGUCAGGGGAAGAAAAAUAAGUACCAUUAUUUGGGUAAAGAAUAUUAAAUAUGGAAGGGCAGAGAAUAAAAAUGGAAGGGCUCGGUUAAAGGGGCCCCAAUAAAUUUACAUUCUACACAGCACAAUACCUGGAGCUUCCCAAAGUUUAAAAGAG